UAAUGUUAGUAUUAGCAUGGGGUUAUUAUUCUGAGGUUACACAACUGAAGACCCAGAAGGAAAUCAUGACAUUCCAUUGCAGCUUUUGGAAAAAGUUUUCACAGGUAAUUUGGAAAUUUGCAGGCUGCUUUUUCCAGAUGAUACCUCUGCAUAAAUCACCUCACUUGCCAUUUUGAAGAAACGUCUUCAGAUCUGCAAUCAAAAUGGACUCAUUGAAGGAGACAGUCUUCCACUGCAGAGAGGUGGUUUCUGGCAAGAAAGAUUCAAUUGAAGAUAACACUUGUUGCCUGACUUCACAGACAAGAUGUUCCAAGGCAGAUUCUUUACAUGAGAAGAACAGCAGGAGGAAGAGAUUUGGAUUGGUACUUAGGCACUAAAAUGUGCUCUUAGUGUCAACGUUGUAAACCUAGAUUGGCUUUACUAGCAUUCUUCUGGAUUUAUUUAUUGACGAGUCUAAGGCCUGUGAAGAUAUCUGGGAAAGGAGAAAAAAGAUUCUGUACACACAGAAGCCACUGACGUUUGAUCCUUGUUUUCAAGACCAUGCAUUACUAGUUGCACAGAACUGGCAAAAUUAUUUUGUCAGUGGAUUUGUGAAGCAGAUGUAAAGAUGUAUAAGUCACUAACAGGACAUUUAAAGGAUUUGGAAGAGGUCUUUGUAUUUUAAUAACAUGAAAUAGACACUAGAUGUCUCACCUGCACCAUAAAAAGUAUCAAAUUAUACCUAAACUAAGAUUUUUAUAUGCUUAUAUGCUUCUUUCUUUUCUUUCUUUCUUUCUUUCUUUCUUUCUUUCUUUCUUUCUUUCUUUCUUUCUUUCUUUCUUUCUUUCUUUCUUUCUUUCUUUCUUUCUUUCUUUCUUUCUCUCUCUCUCUCUCUCUCUCUCUCUCUCUCUCUCUCUCUCUCUCUCUCUCUCUCUUUCUCUGCCUCUCUGCCUCUCCUUUCUCUCUUUCUUACUUUCUCUCUCUUUCUUUCUUAAACGGAAGGGCUAUAAUUAGUGCACGGGAGCAGAGCAGGGACUGGACUACCUAUGAAAGCCCUUUCACAGUCUCCUCAUUUCAUGUUUUUAAACAAUUUUUUUCACUAUUUCAUAUUCUGCACUGUGAAGAAUAUAUUCAUAUAAUUUAUAUCCAAAACAAGUGAAUGAUUUAUGUACAUAAAUAUCCAUGGGCAUAAACUAUUGUAUCACUUUAAGUCUUCUUUUGAGCAUAAGCUGAUGAACUGACUGGAACUGAACAGGCAAAAUAACAGCCACUGACAAUGAUUAAAACAUA